rnacentral:rRNA from 1 species
CAACAGGGAUUGCCUCAGUAGCGGCGAGUGAAGCGGCAAGAGCUCAGAUUUGAAAUCUCACCUAGUGUGCGAGUUGUAAAUUGCAGGUUGGAGUCUCGGGUUAGACGUGUGUGCAAGUCCCUUGGAACAGGGUGCCACUGAGGGUGAGAGCCCCGUAGCGUGCAUGUCGACACCUGUGAGGCCCUUCUGACGAGUCGAGUUGUUUGGGAAUGCAGCUCUAAGUGGGUGGUAAAUUCCAUCUAAGGCUAAAUAUUGGCGAGAGACCGAUAGCGAACAAGUACUGUGAAGGAAAGAUGAAAAGCACUUUGAAAAGAGAGUGAAACAGCACGUGAAAUUGUUGAAAGGGAAGGGUAUUGGGCUCGACAUGGGAUUUACGCAUCGUUGCCUCUCGUGGGCGGCGCUCUGGGUUUUUCCUGGGCCAGCAUCGGUUUUCGUUGCAGGAUAAGGACAAUUGGAAUGUGGCUCCUCGGAGUGUUAUAGCCUUUUGUAGAUGCUGCGUAUGGGGACCGAGGGCUGCGGCGGACUCGUUUCGUCUCGGAUGCUGGCACAACGGCGCAAUACCGCCCGUCUUGACAC